CUAUCCUGCCCGGCUUGAAAAUCCCCCACCCCGCCCCCAUAAUUGAAAGCAUGGUUGUAAUUCCGGCAAUCUGGAGGCGUUCUGGACAGGGGUUCGAUUCCCCUCACCUCCACCCAAGGGCAUUCCGCUGAGUGCGUUUGGAUGGGGGUGUACUGGCUUCGACAGGGCGGGCAAAGGUGCGCAGGCAACUCGUCAGGCGAUCGACGUUAAUGAAGCAAACUCCAUAAUUGCCAAUGAUGAGCAAUUCGCUAUUGCCGCCUAAAAACGGUUAGCCGGGGCUGCUAGAGCCUUGUUACCAAAGAUAGCCGGCGGGGACUUCGGUCCCCGUCGUCA
rnacentral:tmRNA from 1 species